GGGGGUGACACAGUGAAAGAGUGAGGAAGGGGGUGACACAGUGAGGAAGGGGGUGACACAGUGACAGAGUGAGGGAGGGGGUGAUUAGUGACAGAGUGAAGGAGGUGGUGACUGUCACUAGUCACCCCAUCCCUCCCUCUGUCACUAAUCACCACCUCCCUCACUCUGUCACUAGUCACCCCUUCCUUCCCUCACUCUGCCACUAGUCACCCCUUCCCUCACUCUGUCAGCUGUCACCCCCUCACUCUGUCACUAGUCACCCCCUCACUCUAGUGA